rnacentral:tRNA from 1 species
GGGGAGGAAGCGAUAAUUUGCACCCAGUUUCGACCUGGUCCUUGAUGGUUUCAUCCCUCUCCA